AUUGAACGCUGGCGGCAGGCCUAACACAUGCAAGUCGAGCGGAUGAAGGGAGCUUGCUCCUGGAUUCAGCGGCGGACGGGUGAGUAAUGCCUAGGAAUCUGCCUGGUAGUGGGGGAUAACGUCCGGAAACGGGCGCUAAUACCGCAUACGUCCUGAGGGAGAAAGUGGGGGAUCUUCGGACCUCACGCUAUCAGAUGAGCCUAGGUCGGAUUAGCUAGUUGGUGGGGUAAAGGCCUACCAAGGCGACGAUCCGUAACUGGUCUGAGAGGAUGAUCAGUCACACUGGAACUGAGACACGGUCCAGACUCCUACGGGAGGCAGCAGUGGGGAAUAUUGGACAAUGGGCGAAAGCCUGAUCCAGCCAUGCGGCGUGUGUGAAGAAGGUCUUCGGAUUGUAAAGCACUUUAAGUUGGGAGGAAGGGCAGUAAGUUAAUACCUUGCUGUUUUGACGUUACCAACAGAAUAAGCACCGGCUAACUUCGU
rnacentral:rRNA from 1 species